GGGCACAUGGUGUAGUUGGUUAUCACAUCCGCUUAGCAAGAACGUGCUUGAUGCGGGGGGUGCUGGGUUCAAUUCCCAGUGUGUCCA